rnacentral:rRNA from 1 species
GACGAACGCUGGCGGCGUGCUUAACACAUGCAAGUCGAACGAAGAGCGAUGGAAGCUUGCUUCUAUCAAUCUUAGUGGCGAACGGGUCAGUAACGCGUAAUCAACCUGCCCUUCAGAGGGGGACAACAGUUGGAAACGACUGCUAAUACCGCAUACGAUCCGACCUCGGCAUCGAGGAUGGAUGAAAGGUGGCCUCUAUUUAUAAGCUCUCACUGAAGGAGGGGAUUGCGUCUGAUUCGCUAGUUGGAGGGGUAACGGCCCACCAAGGCAAUGAUCAGUAGCCGGGCUGAGAGGAUGAACGGCCACAUUGGGACUGAGACACGGCCCAGACUCCUACGGGAGGCAGCAGUGGGGAAUCUUCCGCAAUGGACGAAAGUCUGACGGAGCAACGCCGCGUGAGUGAUGACGGCCUUCGGGUUGUAAAGCUCUGUUAAUCGGGACGAAAGGUCUUCUUGCGAAUAGUUAGAAGAAUUGACGGUACCGGAAGAGAAAGCCACGGCUAACUACGUG